UGUUUCCUAUAAAUACGGCAGGAUCUGAGCACUGUAGUGUCAGAGGUCUGCCUCCAGGGCACAGGAAAUCUGGGAGACUUCCCUGAAGUGGGCUACUGGUGACUAAGAAGUGAGUGACUCAUGCAGAGGUGAAGGCAGGAAAAUUUUUAAUUGGUGCUAAUUUUUUUUCCCAUUAUAAUAAUGUGUUUAAAACCUUCCAUCUGGAAUUCCUGUUGUAGUGUAAUGGGAUGAGCAGCAUCUUAGGAGCGCUGAAACGCAAGUUCGAUCCCUGGCGGCAUAGUGGGUUAAAGGAUCUUGCAUUGCCGCAGCUGCUCUUAGGUCACAACUGCCACUUGGAUCUGAUCCCCUGCAGGGGAACUCCAUAUGCUGCCAGGUGGCCAAAACAGAACAAACCAAAAUACCUUCCACUUGCUAAAGUAAAUGUGUAGAACUACCUCAGUUGUUAGCCCAUCCUGUAUGCUUUAAAAUGUCCCAUCUUUUUGGAGAGCCCCCAAUUCUACCAUGUCCACAUUACCCCAGACUCCAGAAGUAGAGGAGGAAGAGGAAGAGAGGAGGAGAAAAAGCAGGAGGACGGAGAGGAGAAACCACUACCUUUGGUGUUUGUUUUUAAUUUGUAUAAAAAUUUAGGGAGAAGGGCCUCCUGAUAUAAUUUCCUAGGCUAGAGGUCGAAUUGGAGCUGUAGACACUGGCCUACGCCAGAGCCACAGCAAUGCAGGAUCCGAGCCGCGUCUGUAACCUACACCACAGCUCACGGCAACGCUGGAUCCCUAACCCACUGAGCAAGGGCAGGGAUGGAACCCACAACCUCAUGGUUCCUAGUCGGAUUCGCUAACCUCUGCACCAACAACGGGAACUCCUCAUUUAUAUUUUAUGUUGCAUGUUAUUCCUGAUUCUAUUUAUCAUCUGAAUCUUUGGUUUAUUUUUCUUAUCAGAAAUGUUUCCUAUGUUCUGUCCAGAGUGAAUGAGUUGUUUUUAUUGAUUCUUGUCUGUUUUUCCUUGCCUUUGUAAAGCUUUCUUGUUUAAAAUAUUUUCCACAAGUCUAAGCUCCCCAGACAAGCUUUGGUUUGUUUUGCUUCUUUAUAACUAUGUGCUCAUUUUAUGUACAAAGAAAAUGUUCUAGGUGUUCCCUUGUGGUGCAGUGGGUUAAGGAUCAGGCAUCACCGCAGCAGCUUGGGUCUCUGCUGUAGCUCAGGUUCAGUCCCUGGCCCUGAAACCUCCACAUGCUAUGGGCACAGCCAAAAAAGAAGAAAAGAAGAAAGAAAAAUGCUCUGCACCCACUCUUAUACUUUAGGUAAAGUGAAGGAAGUCAUGGCAUAAGAGAAACAGGAUUGAUGUCUUUGUGACUCACAGAUAAUUAUGAGGAAGAGAAACUGUUCUUUGUGAACCUAAGUAGUGAAACUGGGUCCAGUGGUUACAUGUCAGAGAGGCAGUUUUACUUUUUUUUCCCGCUUUUUAGGGCCGCACCUGCAGCACAUGGAAGUUCGAAGGCUAGGGGUCAUUUCAGAGCUGUAGCUGUCAGCCUACACCACAGCCACAGCAAUGCUGGAUCCCUGACCCACUGAGCAAGGCCAGGUAUGGAACCCUAUCCUCAUGGAUCCUAGUUGGAUUCAUUUCCACUGUGCCACAAUGGGAACUCCUAGAGAAGCAGUUUUACACCAAAAAAAAAAGAGAAACUAAACAGCUUUCUAAAGAUGAGCUACUUUGGGAGUUUCUGUUGUGGUUCAGUGGUAAUGAACCCAACUAAUAACCGUGAGAUUUCAGAUUGAUCCAUUGCCUCAGUCAGUAGGUUAGGGAUCAGGCAUUGCAGUGAGCUGUGAGCUGUGGUGUAGAUCACAGAUGCCACUGGGAUCUGGUGUGGUUGUGGCCAGCAGCUGCAGCUCCGAUUAGUCCCCUAGCUCAGGAAACUCCAUAUGCUGUGAGUGCAGCCCUAAAAAAAAAAAAAAAAAAAAAAAAAAAAAAG
rnacentral:lncRNA from 9 species